AUUGAACGCUGGCGGCAUGCCUUACACAUGCAAGUCGAACGGCAGCACGGGGGCAACCCUGGUGGCGAGUGGCGAACGGGUGAGUAAUGCAUCGGAACGUGCCCAGUAGUGGGGGGAUAACCCGGCGAAAGCCGGGCUAAUACCGCAUACGACCUACGGGUGAAGGCGGGGGACCGUAAGGACUCGCGCUAUUGGAGCGGCCGAUGUCUGAUUAGCUAGUUGGCGGGGUAAAGGCCCACCAAGGCGACGAUCAGUAGCUGGUCUGAGAGGACGACCAGCCACACUGGGACUGAGACACGGCCCAGACUCCUACGGGAGGCAGCAGUGGGGAAUUUUGGACAAUGGGCGCAAGCCUGAUCCAGCCAUGCCGCGUGCGGGAAGAAGGCCUUCGGGUUGUAAACCGCUUUUGGCAGGAACGAAACGGCGCAAGCUAAUACCUUGCGCUAAUGACGGUACCUGCAGAAUAAGCACCGGCUAACUACGUGCCAGCAGCCGCCGUAAUAC
rnacentral:rRNA from 1 species